CCCUUAAGCUGUAGAGAAUCAUUUAGCUUAAAGCCCUUGAGCUGUGCUUGAGACUGGAUUCCUUUCAGACCUUCGGGGAAAAUACGCUUUUGUUUUCUUUCUCAGGGGCACUGCGAUUGCUGGCAUCGUGUUUGGAAUCGUGUUCAUCAUGGGGGUCAUUGCAGGAAUUGCCAUAUGCAUCUGCAUGUGCAUGAAAAACAACCGGGGAACCCGCGUGGGAGUCAUCAGAGCAGCACACAUCAAUGCCAUCUCCUAUCCCAUGGCACCGCCCCCCUAUACUUAUGACCAUGAGAUGGAAUAUUGCACAGACCUGCCACCACCAUACUCUCCAGCCCCACAAGCUUCAGCCCAGCGCUCUCCACCCCCUCCGUACCCUGGAAAUCCAAGGAAAUAUUCCUCCUCCCAGAACAGAAUAUGUAACAAUUAGCAAUUACCCAGAACAAAAUGCCUCAAUUUAGAAACAUGCAAAUGAUCGUCUACUGGCUAGGGUCAGAUAACAUCUCAGGCAGACUAUCCAUGUGGAGCAGGCUCUUUCCCUGCUCAGAGCUAGGUAGAGAAUGAGGUUUGGUUCUCUGAAGUCACAGAUUACGUGAUCUACAGAUCCGCCCAGGCACAGUCAGAUUAAAACAAUGCACUUGGCAGACCAUGUGAUAAUCACGCUGCUUUAGGACGAGCUGAAGGCAACUUCAGCAUUGAACCUGGAAUAAAGACAGAGGACAGUCUUAUCUACAUCAGGAAAGAGCUGCAUUCCAUAUAGCUUUAGGCGAACUAGAACAGUUCAUUAUUACAUUUAUCCACAAAUAUGUAUUAAGUGCCUUAGAGCCCACUCUGUGCCUGGCCACAUUAGGGGCUCUGGAUAGAAGUAACCAAUGGGAACGUUGGUUCUGGCACAGGCAUACCUCAUCUUGUUGCACUUUGACCUUUUGCACUUCGCCGUGGUGUUGCAUGUUUUUUUACAGAUUGAAGGUUUAUGAUAACCUUGCACCAAGCAGUGUCGUUUUCCCAACAGUAGAAGCAUACUUCCUAUCCUUGUAUUACAUGUUGGUCAUGCGCGCCAACAAUGCGCGUCAUUCCAAAUGUUUUCAUAGCCACGAUUAUUAUGUCUGUUAUGGUGAUCUGCGUUUAGUGUUGGUUGGUGUUGUUAUCGUAGAUAUUUGUUUGGAGAUGUCAUGAAUUCCGCCCCUAUAAAACAGUGAGAUUAGUAGAUUGAUAAAUAGUGUGUGUGUGUGUGUGUGUGUGUGUGUGUGUGUAUGUAUCAUAUCUGCUCCACUGAAAACCUCCACCCCCUUCCUCCUCUCUCUCUCUCCCCCUAUUCCGAGAACAGUCUGAAAUUAGGCCAAUUAACAAGCCAACAAUGACUUCUAAGUGUUCAAGCUAAAAGAAUAAUAUGGUUCUUACUUUAACCCAAAGAUGGAAAUAAUUCAUCUUUAUGACAAAAGCAUGUUCAAAUCCGAGAUAGGCUGAAAGGCCAGCAUCUUACUCUAGCUUGUAAGUUAAGCCAUAAAAACACAGAUGAGGCUUUCUUAAAGGAAACUAAAAAUGUCUCUCUCCAAACACACAAAUGAUAGAAAAGAAAGAGAACACCAACCCCACUGUUUAUAAGAAUAACUCCUUAGUGGUGUAUGCAGCAGAUCAAAACAACCACAUUCCCUCAAGUCAUAAAGCUUGAUCCAGAGCUGGGACCUAACUCUUCAUUCUGCAAUGGCUGGCAGAGGCGAACAAGAAAUGUAAGCAUAGCUUGCAUGCUGUAAGAGAAAGAUUGAGAGGAGCAGAGAUCGGGUCCUGAAGUUAAGAGAAGGAGCUACCCUACCCCUGUAUUCAAAGGAGAAGGUGAAGCUUCAGGCACUGCAAUGGAGGCUGACGCCUGUUCUCUCAAAGACCUAGUUAGGAUCGCACAGAAGAUGGCCGCUUAAUGGAAAUGACAGUCUCUACUGUGGGAAGACGUGCUUGCCUUCUAGAACUUCCACAGCCAAAACAAAAAAGCCAUCCUAACUCCAAACCUCAAAAGACAGUCUGGCCUUCUCGCUAGUGUCUACACCAUAACUGCUGACUUUCACAUGAAGCCAGUAUUCAAUGUUCAUUUUCUAGCCAAAAAUCCUAGCCCUCUUAAGAAUAGCCAGAGUUCGCUCUGCCUGUAGUCUAUACAUAGAACAACCAGGUCUAUUUUUGAUGUUGUUUAAUGAAUGUUUUAAACCAAGUGUUGAGACUGCUCAGGGAAAAACAAGUUGUUGUUUUUUUUUUCAAAACCUUACUGCUUAUUGACAAAGCUCAUCCAAGUGCUCCCAUGGAAAUGUACAAAGAAACAAAGAUCUGUUCAUAUGCAGCAACGAUUCCAGUCCUACUCUGUGUCCCAUAGACUAUGGUUAACUUCGACUUCUAAGCCUUGGUAUUUAAUAACUGCCUUUUAUAAGGUCAUAACUGACACAAAUUGGAACCUCUGGGGGCUUGGCAAAGUCCUGGAAAGAAUCUGUGACUGUAGACCCACGAUUCACAAGAAGAGAUCGAGAGGUCAGUAUUAAUGCACAUUUGGAGGAAGUAGAUUCCGGCUCUCAUACAUAAUGUUGCCUUUGCUAAGGCUUUGGAGGAGGAAGUACCUACAGAUAUGGUAAACUCACAAAGGAACUAACCUUGGAGAUGGAAAUUGAAGGUGCAACUCAGAUACUAUAUCUCAGGCUAUCACUGCAAGAGGAACAAUUGCUUCUUAUGGUGAGCAAUGUAUAGAGGUUUUGGUUCAUCUGGUGAAACACACUGCUGGUGAAAGGUGCUGUGGGCAGAGAUGAGGUCAGAGCAGAGGGUUUAGAGUAUUUGUAAGUGACUUGAUAAGCCUGCAGUGGGAUUGGAGAAAAUUACAAUUUUGAAGGAAGAAACACCGUACUUUAAAAGCUGCCAAGCAGCAUCACAUGCUACAGAGAACCUGUUUGUAAAGAGAUGUUUCAACCUAUGUAGCAGAUUUCACUGUUAUAUUAUUUGAAGGAACUAACCGGAUUAAGCAAGCACCAGCCUAAUCAUCAGCAACUCUCACCCCACCACCACCAAAAAGAUUUGGACCUGCCGAAAGCUUGGCUGCUAGUUGCCAUUCUUUAACAAUGAAAUAUUUUAAUGAGGGUAUAGACACUGCUUUGAAGACACUUAACAAACUAUAAUACAGUAUAAACAUAACUUUAAUGUGUACCAGAAAACCAAAAAGUAUUCGUGUGAUUCUCUUGUGAAAUUUGCUUUGCAAGAAAGACAAGCGGCUUCACAGGUGAUGUCGAAGUCUUAUUGGUAUGAAUAUAUGGAACCCAUGCCCUCUCUAAAGUAUGCGUGUAAAACAAAGCAAAUUAAGCAAACAACAACAAAAACCAGUUGUGCCUUACUGUUGACUAGAUAGCUUUGUGAAGCUCUUCCAUCGAGAUCCCAAACAAAAUGCGGCUGUAUAGUAAAGAAAUGUUCUAGAAAGGUGUCUAAAAUGGAUCGAUCCUUUUAGCCUCAAACUGUCUGCUUAUGUCUUAGGUAGGUGUGACUACCUGUGUCUGCAGCAGUGAGAGCAGUAACUCAAUCUUACCCAUUGACUCUGACUAUUUAAACAAGAUCAAAGGUACCCACCACGUUCUGGGAGCUAAGAUCUCCACAGUGCUUACUAACUCUUCCUAAAAACCCAUAUCGCUUUAGUCACAGGUAUAUGAAGGUUGCUCCAACUGUGGAAUAAGAGGUGAGAAACCAAAUAGUCCCAGGUUUUAUAUCAGUAAUAAAAUGUGUAAUUUGACCAUAGACAAAAGACUUUUUUAAAGGGGGAAAUGAAUGCUCAAGCCAUUGCUUCCAUUUUAUAAAAACUAAUCUUUUAGACAAGUUAUAUAAUUAAUGGGAAAGGCAAGAGGACACUGUGUUGCCUUUUGCCCGAGUACUAGGUUUUGUGACGUGCUUGCCUUUAAAUGUAAAAGCAUUCAAUAAAAAAAAUUCCAAUGUGUCAUGUUCUACUCCAAGUGACUGUAACAUUCAUUUUUUCCACUUGGCUCUUUUUGUGUACUUUAAAAUUGUUUGAUGAUCACUAGGGAUAGAAGGUCAGACCUUUAUGUCACUUUAAAAGAAAACCUAAAACACUAACCAAACUUAAACAAUCCCAUAUCAUGAUAAUAAUGCAGUGAUAUUCCAAAAUGGCACCAAGAUACUUGAUAAAUAACCAAAACAAAUAUCUGACAAUAUAGGUUAUAGGAUCUGAGCUUGUAGUUGAGAAAGUUAAUAUGAAUAAAUAGUGCCUUUUACUGUAUCAAAUAUUUACAGUAGAAAUAUGUGGGUCCGACUGAACAUGGUCUACAGAAGGUAUUGAGGUUAGGUUUGUUUUGAGUGACUUGCUUGGCUUAGGCAAGAAUAAUCUUAGCUUCGAAGAUGUGGAAAGCCUUCAGGGGUCCUGUCUGUUCUAGUAAGAGGCUUCCUGCCUAGCAUGAAGUGUCAGCGUAGUGUUAACAGUACAUGGGCUUUGAUUUAUUUUUCUUCGGCAAAUGUGAUUAGUUUAUACCACUCUACAGCAAUAAUCCUUAAUGCCAAAGUCACGGUGAUCUGAGAAUGUUGUUUGCAAAUCCACUACACAUUUCUAAAGAAAAAUAAAGAGGCAAGUCUGCCAAAAUCGAAUGCUCCUUUUGACACAAAUGUACGUCUACCACAUGCCUCUGACAUUCUAUAAACAUUGUCUGCAUGGGAACUGUCCACACUCUCUCUCUUUGAGUUGGUUAUGGCUCCCCCGAAGGCAUAGCACAAACUUAUAUAUUUACAAUGAAGGAUUUUACUGGUUUUUACUAGUGUCAUACUAUUAUACAUGAAUAUAUCAUAGAUUUCUAAAGUUCACUGAUUAUUUCCAGAAGUAAUGUAUAUCAGAGGAAAACAAUAUUUGAUGUAAAAUUUUGAUUAUGGUUGUUUAAGAACUAACCGUUGCUAUGGCUAAAUUAUUUACAAAGAGCAAUAAAAUGAAAGGACUUAUUAUAAUGAGA